rnacentral:rRNA from 1 species
GCUUGUCUCAAAGAUUAAGCCAUGCAAGUCUAAGUAUAAGCUACUUAUACGGCAAAACUGCGAAUAGCUCAUUAUAACAGUUAUAAUUUACACGAAGAUCAUUACCAAAUGGAUAUCCAUGGUAAUUCUGGAGCUAAUACAUGCUAAAACACCCGACUUCUGGAAGGGUGGCAUUCAUUAGUUCUCGGAACCAACCGGUGGGCAACCACUGUACUUGGUGAUCAUAAUGACAGAGCGGAUCGCAUUUCAUGCGACAGUUCGUUCAAGUUUCUGACCUAUCAGCUCCCGUCGGUAGGGUAUUGGCCUACCGAGGCAGUGACGGGUAACGGGGAAUUAGGGUUCGAUUCCGGAGAGGGAGCCUGAGAAACGGCUACCACAUCUAAGGAAGGCAGCAGG